rnacentral:tRNA from 1 species
GUGGUCAUCGCCAUCUGACUACGGAUCAGAAGGUUAGGGGUUCGAGUCCCUUCGGCCACC